GGAGGAAUAUUGGUCAAUGGGGCGAGAGCCUGAACCAGCCAAGUAGCGUGCAGGACGACGGCCCUAUGGGUUGUAAACUGCUUUUAUAAGGGAAUAAAGUGAGUCUCGUGAGACUUUUUGCAUGUACCUUAUGAAUAAGGACCGGCUAAUUCCGUGCCAGCAGCCGCGGUAAUACGGAAGGUCCGGGCGUUAUCCGGAUUUAUUGGGUUUAAAGGGAGCGUAGGCCGGAGAUUAAGCGUGUUGUGAAAUGUAGACGCUCAACGUCUGCACUGCAGCGCGAAC
rnacentral:rRNA from 1 species